GACGAACGCUGGCGGCGUGCUUAACACAUGCAAGUCGAACGGAAAGGCCCUGCUUUUGUGGGGUGCUCGAGUGGCGAACGGGUGAGUAACACGUGAGUAACCUGCCCUUGACUUUGGGAUAACUUCAGGAAACUGGGGCUAAUACCGGAUAGGAGCUCCUGCUGCAUGGUGGGGGUUGGAAAGUUUCGGCGGUUGGGGAUGGACUCGCGGCUUAUCAGCUUGUUGGUGGGGUAGUGGCUUACCAAGGCUUUGACGGGUAGCCGGCCUGAGAGGGUGACCGGCCACAUUGGGACUGAGAUACGGCCCAGACUCCUACGGGAGGCGGAAGUGAGGAAUAUUGCACAAUGGGCGGAAGCCUGAUGCAGCAACGCCGCGUGCGGGAUGACGGCCUUCGGGUUGUAAACCGCUUUCGCCUGUGACGAAGCGUGAGUGACGGUAAUGGGUAAAGAAGCAACGGCUAACUACGUG
rnacentral:rRNA from 1 species